AUAUAUGUACCGAUAAUUAUUUUGUGUUAAAAAUAUGAGGCAAAUUAUACUGCCCGAUUAUACGGACUACAUAUUAAAAACGAUUAUCUUGGAAACAGUCAAUAGAUGUCGAACCACCAGCAAAGUUUUUGAAGAGGUGUACCUAGUUCCUGGUACCAACUGGAAACUGAAACUAAUAAUCUACACUCAAGAAAAUGAAAUAUAGUCACAGAAAACUUUAAUGUUUUAUUUUAUUAAAGAAAAACGUUAAAAAAAUGUGUAAACAGAAA